rnacentral:tRNA from 1 species
GCCGAGGUGGCGGAACUGGCAGACGCGUAUGCCUUAGGAGCAUAUGUCGCAAGGCGUGAGGGUUCAAAUCCCUCCUUCGGCAC